rnacentral:rRNA from 1 species
AUUGAACGCUGGCGGCGUGCCUAACACAUGCAAGUCGAGCGGUAACAGGUGUAGCAAUACAUGCUGACGAGCGGCGGACGGGUGAGUAACGCUUGGGAAUCUGCCUGUUAGUGGGGGACAACCCGGGGAAACUCGGGCUAAUACCGCAUACGCACUACGGUGGAAAGCCGGGGACCGCAAGGCCUGGCGCUAACAGAUGAGCCCAAGUCGGAUUAGCUAGUUGGAGGGUAACGGCCUACCAAGGCGACGAUCCGUAACUGGUCUGAGAGGACGACCAGUCACACCGGAACUGAGACACGGUCCGGACUCCUACGGGAGGCAGCAGUGGGGAAUAUUGGACAAUGGGCGAAAGCCUGAUCCAGCGACGCCGCGUGGGUGAAGAAGGCCUGCGGGUUGUAAAGCCCUUUC